GACGAACGCUGGCGGCGUGCUUAACACAUGCAAGUCGAACGGAAAGGCCCUGCUUGCUGGGUACUCGAGUGGCGAACGGGUGAGUAACACGUGGGUGAUCUGCCCUGCACUUCGGGAUAAGCCUGGGAAACUGGGUCUAAUACCGGAUAGGAGCCAUUUUUUGUGUGAUGGUUGGAAAGUUUUUUGGGUGUAGGAUGAGCUCGCGGCCUAUCAGCUUGUUGGUGGGGUAAUGGCCUACCAAGGCGGCGACGGGUAGCCGGCCUGUGAGGGUGGACGGCCACACUGGGACUGAGAGACGGCCCAGACUCCGACGGGAGGCAGAAGUGGGGAAUAUUGCACCAUGGGUGCAAGCCUGAUGCAGCGACGCCGCGUGGGGGAUGACGGCCUUCGGGUUGUAAACUCCUUUCGCUAGGGACGAAGCUUUUUGUGACGGUACCUAGAGAAGAAGCACCGGCUAACUACGUG
rnacentral:rRNA from 1 species